rnacentral:rRNA from 1 species
UCACCUGUUUUACAAAAACAUGUCUUAAAGAUAAAAAUUUUAAGUCAAAUCUGCUCAAUGAAAUUAAACUUUUUAAUAGCUGCAGUAUAUAUAACUGUACAAAGGUAGCAUAAUAAAUUGUUUUUUAAUUAAAAACUAGAAUGAAUGAUUUAAUGAAAUAUAAACUGUCUCAAAUUAAUAUUAUAAAAUUAUUAUUUAAGUAAAAAAACUUAAAUAAAUUUUAAAGACGAGAAGACCCUAAAGAAUUUAAUUAUUUAUUUAAAUAAUAAUAAAAUAAAUUUUUAAAUUAAAUAAUUUAAUUGGGGAAAUUUUAAAAUUUAAUUAAUUUUUAAUUAAAAUUACAAUUAUUUUUGAAUAAAUAAUUUUUUUUAAAAAAAAAAAUUAAAUUACCUUAGGGAUAACAGCAUAAUUUUUUUAAAAAGUUCAAAUUUAUAUAAAAGUUUAUGACCUCGAUGUUGAAUAAGA